AGUUUUGAUUUUUGUCUUUUUGAUGGGUUGAUGAAAGGAUUUUACUCCACUGCCGAGUCUUUGUUCACAGAAUUCUGUCAGUGCCUCUUCACCUGUCUUUUCGGCAUGCAGCAAGUCUGCUGCGAUGGCCUCUGAUGCCACAUGUCCAGACGAGAUUUGAAGCAGAGCAUCUCCAUCCAGGGAAGGGUCAAAGGGGUUCACCAUGUUUUUGACAGUGGUGAGAAGGUUGGUGACAUCGCUCUCAUCCCUCUGCCUUCUGGUCUGGUCCAGCUCAGCAUUCAGAUGUUCCACUGGGCUCCUCCCUGCCAUAUUUUUACAUUCGACAGUAAUUGCUGCCCGCUCGUGCUGUGUGAUGGUCCAUCGGUGAAUGGCACCUUUAUUAAGGGAGAACCCACACACACCUCCCUUAGUCUUGGUGUCUCUAUUCACUGUUUGUUCGAUCACCUGAUCACAGGCUGUACCAGCAAAGCCAUGUGUUGUACUUCUACGAGCAACAAAGUCUCCUGAAAUUAGCUGCUGGUGUGCAAAUGGGUGGGUUUCUUUCAAGUUUGUCAUCUCACCCCAGUAUGCCGUCAGAUACCUGGCAUAAUUCACUUUGUCACAGGCAAAAAACCAUGGCAGCAUGGACCGGACGGUGGACAAAUGGAGAGCCCAGUUCCCCUCUCUGGUUGCACGAAUGAAGAGAAGCAAAAUCUCCACCAUUUCAAGCAGUACUGUCUUGCAGUGUGUUGAAGUAAGCCUGCCACCGGAGUCUUUGCAGUGCCUCUGCGAGGAGUUUGUGGGCCCGGAUGCUCCUGUUGUAAUGGUGGCCGGAAAUAACACCGCCAAUGGAGCCUGCAGCCACGAGCUCUGAUUCAAUUAAGAUGUCCUGAAGGCCGGCGUCUGCAUAGAGCUUCCCAAUGCAAGAGAGAUUGUCUGCAAUGGCGAGGGAGCGGCUCAGGAUUGUGUGAACUGUUGUGAGGUCGGUUGGGCUAGCAUCAAUCACGGGGUCUCCUCCCCGAAGUCAUUGUUGUCCCAGACCAAGGUCACCGGCACUUCAGGACAGAUGGACUCGGUUGGUAAAGUGUUGGUAGCAGCCUCUGUGGUACCCAAUACCAUUUGGUACAGGAGUGGGAUCCUGGCUUUCCUCCAGCUGAAACGUCUGCACUGCAUCUUCUGCCACUGCUCUUUCCCUGCAGUUUAGGUCUUUCCACAGAAACACUGAACUCUUGAACUUCUCCCAGCUUUUAUUUGUAAAAGGUGUUAUGGGUCCAUCGCUAUCCACUACAUGCAUGCAGCAUUGCAUGGUUGGCGAUCGUCUUUGAAAUUGAAAUUCCCCCGCGCGUUUACAAGUGUCUCAUUGUUAUGACGUACGUGUACAUGGAAAUUACUCAAUGCAAGAGCACACAAGUCAUUGAAUGUAAAAUUUAUUACUGCAAAUAAAAAAACGUUUUUAAUUAUGAAAACGGCUGGGUUUUUUUUUUAUAGCCUGAUG